rnacentral:rRNA from 1 species
UACGUAGGUGGCAAGCGUUAUCCGGAAUUAUUGGGCGUAAAGAGCGCGCAGGUGGUUAAUUAAGUCUGAUGUGAAAGCCCACGGCUUAACCGUGGAGGGUCAUUGGAAACUGGGGAACUUGAGUGCAGGAGAGGAGAGUGGAAUUCCUAGUGUAGCGGUGAAAUGCGUAGAUAUUAGGAGGAACACCAGUUGCGAAGGCGGCUCUCUGGACUGUAACUGACACUGAGGCACGAAAGCGUGGGGAGCAAACAGG